UACGGAGGAUGCGAGCGUUAUCCGGAUUUACUGGGUUUAAAGGGUGCGCAGGCGGUUGUUUAAGUCAGGGGUGAAAGCCCUAUGCUCAACAUAGGGAUUGCCUUUGAUACUGAACGGCUAGAGUGAAGAUGGAGUGGGUGGAAUGUGUUGUGUAGCGGUGAAAUGCAUAGAUAUCGGGAGGAACACCGAUGGCGAAGGCAGCCCCCUGGGCCUGUACUGACGCUCAUGCGCGAAAGCUGGGGGAGCGAACCGG
rnacentral:rRNA from 1 species